CAAAGUCAAUUCCCUUCUUCUCCUCUAGCUCAUCAUCAAUGGCCUCAUCCACCACCCAAUUCUCACUCUACCUUCUUCUCCUAACCCUCUUCUCAGCAACCCAAUCAUCCCAAUCCCUCAGAGACCUCAAACCCAAUCCCAACCAUCCAUCCACCUCACUCCAAUCAAUCACAGACGUCCAUGACCUCCUCCCCAAGUACGGCCUCCCAAGGGGUCUCUUACCCGACAACGUAAGAUCCUACACUCUCUCCGAUGACGGAACUUUCGAGAUCUAUCUCGAAAGCCCUUGUUAUGUCCACUUUGACGAGCUGGUUUACUACAACACCACCAUCAAGGGAAAGUUGAGUUUCGGCUCUGUUUCCGAUGUGUCGGGGAUUCAAGCCAAGAAGCUGUUUAUCUGGGUUUCCGUGACGGGGAUGCAUAUGGAUGAAGGUUCUGAUUCUGUUGAGUUUUACGUUGGUGCUUUGUCGGAGAAACUGCCGGCUAAACAGUUCGAGGAUGUUCCUGUUUGUAAGACCAAGGCUUGCCGAGGAGGAGCUGGAGCUGGCAUUGAGUCAAUAUGAGGUAGAUUUGGGUUUUUACUUUGAAAUAAAAAUAAUAACUUCACUGUUUUUGUGUGAAUUUUAUGGGAAAGAUUGGAUUUUUUUUGUUUUGUUUAUGUCUUUGUUUAAAGGUUGAGUUUGCUUUGGUACAGAAUGUGUUAUUGUACAUGAAGAAUCAGCUUACGAGGUUCUUAAUUAUGUGCAUUUUCUUAGUUAAGGACUUUGAAAAUUUGAUAAUUUCGGGUUUCUGAGUGAUUGAAUUUGGAAGUGUGAAAUUUGUAUGCCAUGUGUGUUGAUAACCAAGUCAAAGUGUCUCUUUUUUUUGGUGAAUAAUGUUUUCAAUUGGUAUUGUAGGCUAUUUAGAGCAUCAGUUGAAGGAUCAAAAGAUUCUUGUAGUCAGUUUAAAUAUUUAAUUGGAGAUGUCUAAUGUUAUUUGAUAAAAUCAUCUUCUAUGAUUAAUUACAAAAUAUCACACGAACUAUAAUGUUAUUUUCAUUUUCAUACCUAACUAUCAAAAACUUGUAUUUUCAUAUCUUAAGUUUCAUUCCAUUAGCAUUUUAAUACCAUGAUCACUAACAUCGUUAAAUUUUAAAAGCAUUUUCGUCAUUUCAUUAAAUGUAUCAUUUUUUACAUUUAGUUUAACAAAAUAAAUUAUUUUUUGAGGUUAUCAAAUACAAAUAGAAGAAUUUACUUUAGCAAAAAUAUUAAAAAAAUAUAUAUAAUUAAAUAUUUAUUUUUGCAACACUAGUGAUAAAAGUUAGCAUAACUCUUGUGUAUAUAUAUUUUUGGAGUUACAGGUUAAGCAAAACAAAACAAAAUAAAUUAUAUCUAAUAUCGAUAGAAAUUUUAUCAAAUUUUAUAUAAAAUGGUAUAUUUAACCAAAAAAUAGAUUAAAUAUAAAAUAUCAGAAAAAUAUGAAAUUUAAUAUAGAUACGUACUUGUAAAAAAAUAGAAAGUUCAAAGAAAUAUCGAGGAUAUCGUGGAUAUUUUAGUCCGUGAUCACAAUAACUCAUUGACUUGGGUGAAGAAAUGGUGUUCUCGAGUUUGAACUUUGAAUAAUAGCAAUGAGAAAUAUUUAAUUUUAAUAACAAUUUUUAUUUAUAAUUUUUAAUUUGAAUUAUAAGGGUAUCAUGAAUUGACAUAAAUGUCCUUGAAUAUUAUCAAAAUUUAACGGUGUUAGUGGUCAAGGUAUCAAAAUGCUAACGGAAUGAAACUAGAGUAUGAAAAUGCAAGUUUUUGAUAACUAGGUAUGAAAAUGAAAAUAACAUCAUAGUUCGGUUGGUGUUUUGUAAUUAAUCCAAAUUAAAAAAGAAAAGAAAACAAAAAGAUAGAAUUAUUAUGAGAACGAACUGCACCAUUAUCAACCAAACAAAUCAAAACACCAAAGUACGUGCAAUCACCAAGCUAGUUUCAUCAUGUUUAUAUGCACUCGUAUCAUUACAAUGAACUUUUCCAAUCAGUCUCACCUUACACCAAUUUUUGGCCAGUAGGUUUAAGAGUCAUUUGGGAUCGUACUUGCGCUAGGAAAUUACCUAGCUUUGUCGAAAUACUCUUGUAGACCAUAGUUUGGAUACUCAAUGUAUGUGUCUAGUUUGCUAACACAACCGAAAUGACUUGACACCUCACUCUCAAUUAAGGAUAUUAGUUUCUUCCUCAACCAACUGUAGCAGAUGUCAUGUUCAAUCCAAAAAAUGAAUUAAAUUUAGAUGAUGCCUUAUCUAGCUAGACUUCAAACUCCCAAACUGAAUCCUCCUAUGCAAAUUAUUUGAAUCUUUCCAUGUAUCAUUAAUCAUUUGAAUUUUGGAUGACCAAGAUUGAACCAAACUCUAAUUCUUGUGGGGCAUGUAAUUAACCAGAAACAGAAAAGAAAACAAAUGUCUUUCGCAAUUGACAUCAUCAUAUGCUCUCUAUAGGAAAUUUCCCUCCAACAAGCAACACCCGUACCAACCGCCCAUUCCCACCAAUAAUGAAACAAUUCCUCUUCCAAUCUUACCCUUCUCUACUCUUCUAAAUUACUCCUCCUCUGUUCUGUUCUGUUCUUAACCCAAAGUCAAUUCCCUUAUUCUCCUCUAGCUCAUCAUCAAUGGCCUCAUCCACCACCCAAUUCUCUCUCUACCUUCUUCUCCUAACCCUCUUCUCAGCAACCCAAUCAUCCCAAUCCCUCAGAGACCUCAAACCCAAUACCAGCCGUCCAUCCACGUCACUCCAAUCAAUCACAGACGUCCAUGACCUCCUCCCCAAGUACGGCCUCCCAAGGGGUCUCUUACCCGACAACGUAAGAUCCUACACUCUCUCCGAUGACGGAACUUUCGAGAUCUAUCUCGAAAGCCCUUGUUAUGUCCACUUUGACCAGCUGGUCUACUACAACAAGGACAUCAAGGGAAAGUUGAGUUUCGGCUCUGUUUCCG
rnacentral:lncRNA from 1 species